rnacentral:rRNA from 1 species
GACGAACGCUGGCGGCGUGCUUAACACAUGCAAGUCGAACGGAAAGGCCCUGCUUUUGUGGGGUGCUCGAGUGGCGAACGGGUGAGUAACACGUGAGUAACCUGCCCUUGACUUUGGGAUAACUUCAGGAAACUGGGGCUAAUACCGGAUAGGAGCUACUGCUGCAUGGUGGGGGUGGGAAAGUUUCGGCGGUUGGGGAUGGACUCGCGGCUUAUCAGCUUGUUGGUGGGGUAGUGGCUUACCAAGGCUUUGACGGGUAGCCGGCCUGGGAGGGUGACCGGCCACAUUGGGACUGGGAUGCGGCCCAGACUCCUCCGGGAGGCAGCAGUGCGGAAUGUUGCACAAUGGGCGGAAGCCUGAUGCAGCACCGCCGCGUGCGGGAUGACGGCCUUCGGGUUGUAAACCGCUUUCGCCUGUGACGAAGCGUGAGUGACGGUAAUAGGUAAAGAAGCCCCGGCUAACUACGUG